rnacentral:rRNA from 1 species
AGGUGGUGCAUGGCUGUCGUCAGCUCGUGUCGUGAGAUCAACCCAAAAGGCCCGCAACGAGCGCAACCCUUGUCCUGUGUUGCCAGCACGUGAUGGUGGGGACUCGCAGGAGACUGCCGGGGUCAACUCGGAGGAAGGUGGGGACGACGUCAAGUCAUCAUGCCCCUUAUGUCCAGGGCUUCACACAAGCUACAAUGGUCGGUACAGAGGGCUGCGAUACCGUGAGGUGGAGCGAAAGGGUUAAAGCCGGUCUCAGUUCGGAUCGGGGUCUGCAACUCGACCCCGUGAAGUCGGAGUCGCUAGUAAUCGCAGAUCAGCAACGCUGCGGUGAAUACGUUCCCGGGCCUUGUACAGACCGCCCGUCACGUGAAGAUAGUCGGUAACACCCGAAGGCGGUGGCCAUACGCCUGGUCGGACCCAC